UGCCACACAGGAAGUGAUGGGCUCUGAAUACAAUAAAAGCACCAGAAGUAAGCAGAAGACUCACUCACCCCAGACAGAGCCCCAGGGCAUGGUCUUUGACACCACAGAACAAUCCCAGAAAGAACUGGACUUGAUAGAGAAUGGGGAACAGAAAUCUGAGCAAAGGGCUUGUCUGUGACACAAUGAGGGUCACUGGAGAGAAUAAAUAACAAGCCUCCGUUGAACUCAUGUCUUUACUGGUGAGGACUGUUGGAGUGUGGCACCAUUCUCCGCCUCUGGGCCCCUCUCUUCUGUACGCCUCAUUCAUUCUAUCUGUGAAACUUCUAUUUUGUAAUACUCCAGUUCUGAAAGCCCUCCUGGUACCAGAACCUGUGUGUCUCCUGGAGAUGGGGCCUCAAGCAACUCUACUCUGUAUGAUAUGAGACGAAGUCCUGGGAGAGACAUCUCAACAGUGUAAGAAGCAGACAAAAUUUGCCUGAAUUGGGACAACCACCCUGGCAGCUCUGCAGAGCUGUUGAUGUUGUGUCUGGAUGGCAGGCAUUGUGGGACAGUAGAACACGCCAUGACAAAAAGGUGAGCUUCCCUUACCAAGGGAGAGAGCUAUCAUUCACUGUGAAGGAAAUUGCUAUUGUUUGCUUUCAGUGUGGCCAGCAAGCCUUUGUUGUACUUAGAUCUUUACAGGUGAGGACUGUUUGAAGCGAUGCUGAGCUUAGCACAGUCUUCUGUAAAGGCGGAAAAUCAUUUUGGCAGUAAAGCAGUAAGAGUGGCAGCUGUGUGCCAUAUUCCUUCAGCUGAGAGAAUGGCCUGAUUCUGUCUCAUGUGUGUCUAGAGGGUAAUAUUCUCUACCCACUCUCGUUUUCAUUGUGUUGGGACAACUGGCUUUGAUAUAACCUAUUGUAGUGGUUCUGUGUUUCCAGGGCCCUGGUCUCAAUUUUGCUCCAGACCUCUUAUAUAAUUCAGGAAGAAGGAUUGCAGAGAUGGCUCAGCAGUUGAGAGCACUGACUGCUCUUCCAGAGGUCCUGAGUUCAAUUCCCAGCAACCACAUGGUGGCUCACAACCAUCUGUAAUGGAGUCAGAUGCCCUCUUCUAGUGUGUUUAAAGAUAGUGACAGUGUACACACAUAAAAUAAAUAAAAUAUAAUCCAGGAAGAACUUACUGGGUACUUGGGGCUUGUAAUAUACUGUGACAACCCCCCAGGAACAAGAGAGGGUUACAUAUGCUUUGUCCUGGAGGAGCUUAGUUCUAGAGUCAUGACUCUGACCCAUGGAGAGCUGUUACAGAAAGCUAACGAACAGCAGAAUUAGGUGGUUUUAAGGAGCUGUAGUGGUUUGCAUGUGCUUGGCCCAGGGAGUGGCACUAUUACAAGGUGUGGCCUUGUUGGAGGAAGUGUGUCACAGGGUAGGAUGUGCUUUGGGACCCUCCUCUUAGCUGCCUGGAAGACAGAUGGUCUUCUAGCAGCCUUCAGAUGAAGAUGUAGAACUCUCAGCUCCUCCUGUACCACACCUGCCUGGAUGCUGCCCUGUUCCCACCUUGAUGAUAAUGGACUGAACCCCUGAACCUGCAAGCCAGCCCCAAUUAAAUGUUUACUUUUAUAAGAGUUGCUGUGGUCAUGGUGUCUCUUCACAGC